rnacentral:tRNA from 1 species
GAGGGUAUAGCUCAGUGGGAGAGCACAUGCUUUUAGCAUGCAUGAGGUCCUGGAUGCAGUUCCCUGUACCUCCA